AGGGGUGUGGCUCAAUGGCACAGCAUCUGCUUUUUGGGUGCAGAAGGUCCCGGGUUCAAUUCCUGGCAUCUCCA